rnacentral:rRNA from 1 species
UACGAAGGGGGCUAGCGUUGCUCGGAAUCACUGGGCGUAAAGGGCGCGUAGGCGGCGUUUUAAGUCGGGGGUGAAAGCCUGUGGCUCAACCACAGAAUGGCCUUCGAUACUGGGACGCUUGAGUAUGGUAGAGGUUGGUGGAACUGCGAGUGUAGAGGUGAAAUUCGUAGAUAUUCGCAAGAACACCGGUGGCGAAGGCGGCCAACUGGACCAUUACUGACGCUGAGAAGCGAAAGCAUGGGGAGCGAACAGG